rnacentral:rRNA from 1 species
UCCAGACUCCUACGGGAGGCAGCAGUGGGGCCUCUUGGGCAAUGGGCGCCAGCCUGACCCAGCACCGCCGCGUGAAGGAAGAAGGCUUUCGGGUUGUAAACUUCUUUUAACAGGGAAGAGCAGAAGACGGUCCCUGUUGAAUAAGCCACGGCUAACUACGUGCCAGCAGCCGCGGUAAUACGUAGGUGGCAAGCGUUGUCCGGAUUUACUGGGUGUAAAGGGCGUGCAGCCGGGUUUAUAAGUCAGAUGUGAAAUCCCGCGACUCAACCGCGGAACUGCAUUUGAAACUGUAGAUCUUGAGUACUGGAGAGGCAGGCGGAAUUCCUAGUGUAGCGGUGAAAUGCGUAGAUAUUAGGAGGAACACCAGUGGCGAAGGCGGCCUGCUGGACAGCAACUGACGGUGAGGCGCGAAAGCGUGGGGAGCAAACAGGAUUAGAUACCCGUGUAC